AGCAGUAUGGUGUAAUGAUGCACACGGGAUUUGCUUGAACGUUCAAGCUUGCGUGUAAUUCCCGAGGUCCUUGUUCGAAUCAAGGUACUGUUC